rnacentral:lncRNA from 1 species
CGCUAAUUUGCCCAGGCUGGUCCUGAACUCCUGGGUUCAACUAAUUCUCCUGCCUCAGCCUCUCAAAGUGCUGGGAUUACAGGCAUGAGACACCACGCCAGGCUGGUGGUGAGUUUUAAAAUUUUCCAGUGCCUCAGUGUUUCUACCUGUAGAAUGCCAAAAAGUAGAUGGCAUCUUUGCGAGGAUGAAGCCGACUAGCUUUUUUUAAUUUUUUUUUGAGACAGAAUUUCUCUCUUGUCACCCAGGCUGGAGUGCAAUGGUGUGAUCUUGGCUCACUGCAACCUCUGCCUCCUGGAUUCAAGUGAUUCUCCUCUCUCAGCCUCCAAGUAGCUGGGAUUACAAAGCCAGCUAGCUUUAAGAUACAGUGUUGGGCAUCACAUUUUGGCACGGAGCAGGCACUCUUUUCUUUGCCCUCAGGUGGGACUUAGCCACCACAAGCCUUCCCUGGUGUGUGCAGUGGGUGAUGAAUGCUUGCCUGCUCAGCACCCACUACAUGGUGGGCUGGGUCACAUUACUCUGACUCCCCCUUGAGCUUCAGUCCGUGCCUGGUUCAAGAUGUAUUGACUCAACUCGAGGAUCCAGAGGUGGGAUGUGGCUCUGGCCUGGCCAGAGGACCGAAGAUGCUGCAUGCCAUGGCUACAGCAACUGGUUCAGCUUUGGGCUCAUGUCCUAGUCAGAGCCAAUGAGAUGUAAUCUUGGGAUAUCUGCUGGGCUGUUGGGAAGGGGACAGGCUGCCCUGCUCAUCCCCAUUCCUGAUGCUGAGGGAUCUGAGAAAAUCACUUGUAAAAUUCGGGGGUGUUUGGAAGAUGGGGAGACUGAUGUCUCCUUCUCUCUACAGACAUCUGAUCAGCUACAGAGCUUGACUGACCUACCCAGAGGCAGAAUGAUAUGGUGGUUAAAAGUGUGCCCUGGGCCGAGAUCUUGCCACUGCACUCCAGCCUGGGUGACAGAGUGAGACUCCAUCUCAAAAGAAAAAAAAAAGUGUGCUCUGGGCUGGUCGCAGGAGUUUAUGACUGUAAUCCCAGCAGUUUGGGAGGCUGAGGCAGGAGGAUCGCUUGAAGUCAGGAGUUUGAGAUCAGACCCUAUCUCUAGAAAAAUGUUUUAAAAAUUAGCUGGGUUGGUGGUGAAUGCCUGUAGUCCCAGCUACUCAGGAGGCUGAGGCGGGAAGAUUGCUGGAGCCCGGGAGUUCAAGGCUGCAGUGAGCCAUGAUCAGGCCACUGCACUCCAGUUUGAGGGACAGAGAGAGACCCCAUCUCCCUAAAGCACAAAAAAGUGUGCUCUGGUGCCACACUGCCUGGUUAGAUCCUUUGUCCACCACUUAGAUGCAUGUUAUAUAAAUGCUCUCCUCAGUUUCCUCAUCUGUAACUUGGGGAUGAUAAUGCUGCCCCAUUAAGUGGUUAUGGGGACUAAAUUCAUGUGGGCGCAUUGGUAAGUAUUCAACAAGCUUGAUUUUUUCCUGGAGAGGGAGAAAGAGCAUACAGUGAAGUGGCAUGCUCAGGUGCAUUGGGGCAAGGAUUAUUUCCUCUGGCUUCUGCCUCCUGGGAGGUACUAAGGAUGGAUCUGAAAUGUGUCUGCAGACCCCAGAGUUGGGGACUGCAGAGGGAAAUUGAGAUCAGGGACCCCAGUCUGGCAGAAAUGGGUGCAGCAUGGGGCAUUGGGUUCCUUCCAUCAGAGGCAUGGGGUGUGUUGCAGACAGUCAUGAGAUGUGGCUGAAUCUUGCAAGGGAGCUGCAGUCCUAGGGUUGCUGCUUGAGACAAUGACCGCUGUCAGUGGAACCUGGUGACCUUCACCCUUCUCUGUCAGGCUGCAGACAGCAAGAGAUGGCAGGAGGUUACACCCAACAGGAAAAGGGCCAUUGCUAUCCCACAGGUUGCCAUAGGAGGAGAUGACAUCUCUUCCCUCUCCUCCUCCAGCAGUGUCAGCUGGGGAAGAGGUGGGUGGGGGUGCACAAAAGAGUAGACCACAGACCAUGCUCCUUCUCCUCCAGUCUGCUGGGGCCCCAAGAGAGUCUGCAGCCCUUGGCCAGGGACCGGCUGAUACAGGAGAACAAAAGAUCUCAGUCUGGGAUAACAUGGUGGUGCAGCUGAUCCUCUGGAACUCCCUGUGAGAUCAGACUGGAGCCAGUCUCCAGCUGAGACCACAUCUCACUUAGCUCCUUCCCUGCCAUAUCCUGUUUUCCUUACUCCUAUCUACUGAGAGUCCUGAAUGAAUUACAUGCACUCAAUCCCUGCCUCAGGCUCUGCUUUUAGGGAACUUGACCUAAGACAGAUAUCUUAGUACUAAAUACUUUGCAAGGCCUCAGAAGCUCUGCUAUCCACAGGCAGGUGAGAUAUUACCUUCCCUACCACCUGGCAGUCAUAGUCUAUGAUGCGAUUCAGCUUUGUGGAAGUGCUUCUGUAAAGAACUUCCCCCAACUUAAGAUGAUCUUAAUUUGCUUACUUGUUUACUGUCCAUUUAGCUGCUGUAAAAUGUGAGCUCCAAAUCAGUGGUCAUGUCUGGUUAGUUACCCAUUUCCUGGGACCUAGAACGGGCCUAGCUCAGAGCAUGUGCUCACUAUUGAUGGAAUGCAUGUUGAAAGAACGCAUGAAUCUCAUCUCCUUUUGUGGGUGAAAAACUCAUCCUAUUCUCACUCCUGAUUAACUUUCCUUCUUUUUUUUUUUUUUUUUUUUUUUCAAAACGGAGCCAUGAUCUGUCACCCAGGCUGGAGUGCAAUGGUGUGAUCUCAUCUCGCUGCAACCUCUGCCUUCUGGAUUAAAGCAAUUCUCCUGCCUCAGCCUCCCGGGUAUCUGGGAUUACAGUUGCACGCCACCACACCUGGCUAAUUUUUUGUAUUUUUAAUAGAGACAGGGUUUCACCAUGUUGGCCAGGCUUGUCUUGAACUCCUGACGUCGUGAUCUGCCUGCUUUGGCCUCCCAAAGUCCUGGGAUUACAGGCAUGAGCCACCGUACCCAGCCACUCUUGAUUAACUUAAUGGAAAUAUUUACAGAGAUUCUUUCUCUUCUGGGUUCUAGCGUCUUAUCUGUAACCUCUGCAGGGGAGUCACUGAGCAGAACGAAGCGAGUUGCCUGAGAUUCUUCAAAGCCCCAGCCCUUUUGGAGGUUACAUUGUUAUUCUCAGAGCCUUUAUGAUGCAUAAUAAAGACCUAG